UACGGGGGGGGUAAGCGUUGUUCGGAAUUACUGGGCGUAAAGGGCUCGUAGGCGGCCAACUAAGUCAGACGUGAAAUCCCUCAGCUUAACUGGGGAACUGCGUCUGAUACUGGAUGGCUUGGAUCCGGGAGAGGAAUGCGGAAUUCCAGGUGUAGCGGUGAAAUGCGUAGAUAUCUGGAGGAACACCGGUGGCGAAGGCGGCAUCCUGGACCGGUAUUGACGCUGAGGAGCGAAAGCCAGGGGAGCAAACGGG
rnacentral:rRNA from 1 species